rnacentral:tRNA from 1 species
UUCGAAGCAAUAGCGAUAAAUUGUAAAUUUAUUUUUGGGUUUUACCCCGAAA